rnacentral:lncRNA from 1 species
CACAGUGUGAUAAAAUGGCAUUUCACCUCUGAUCUUCCUCCAAACCCACAGCCUCAUCAGACAAAUCCCAUCCCAGGAACAUUCUGCAAAAGAGCACGUACUCCUCAAAAAUAUCAAGAUCAUCAAAACCGAGAAAAGUCUGAGGAGCCUAAGGAGACCUGACAACUAAACGUAAGGUGCUAUCCGGGAGGAAUCAUGGAACAGAAAGUGAACAUCAGGUAAAAACUAAGAAAAUCUGGAAAGGUAUGGACUUGAGUUAACAGUGACGCAUCAAAAUUGGUUCAUUAAUUGUCACAAAUGUCCCAUACUAAUAUAAGAUUCAUAACAGAGGAAACUAGUGUGGAUUAUGUGAGAAGUCUCUCUACGACACAAUUUUUUUUUCUGUAAAUAUGAAACUAUGCUAAAUAAGUUUAUUUUAAAAAUUAUUGAUGUUUUUUCAAAUGAAUUCCCCUUAAACCAUAUUCAAGUGUUCAACCAUGUUUACAAUAUUGUAACCUGGGUAAUUGUGGCUCAAGGCAGAACCAAGUAGAAUAUUAUUAUUGUAAUUUCCUUCCUAUACACUGUUUGGUUUUUCUAGUAUUUCUAUUCCUCUCUCUCUCUUUAGGCCACACCACAGCAGCUACCUGGACUGCUGCAGUGCCAGUGCCAGAAGGUUUUGUUUAGUUGUGUUGCUUUCUAGAGCCACUUCCCACAGCAUAUGGAGGUUCCCAGGCUAGGGGUCGAAUAAGAGCUACAGCUGCUGGCCUACACCACAGCUACCGCAACUCAGGAUCCAAGCCACAUCUGUGACCUACACCACAGCUCACAGCAAUGCCAUAUCCUUAACCCACUGAGCAAGGCCAGGGAUCGAACCCACAUCCUCAUGGAUAAUGGCUGAUUUCAUUACCCCUGAGCCAUGACAGGAACUUCUCCAUUUAUUUUUCCAACAGUUCCCUCACAUCCAGUAGUUUUUCUAACCUUUUUUUUUUUUUUUUUUUUUUUAACUGGAAGCCUUGCCUCCCAGAGUCCUCUGGGGCCAGUGAAGGCCAUUUUUUGAGAAGCUAAUUCAGUGUGCCCCAGGAGCCACUAGAAGACCGCAUGCCUGGACUUCUGGUGGCCUAAUCUGAUUGAAGGACAGAAUUUAACGAAACUGGAGGAGUCAGUGAAUUACAUGCACUCCCAAUAUCCUUUCCUGCUUUUCUUAACUAGUGUUGGUGGGGUGAAGUCCAUACAACGCCAAAACAAUGGUAUGUGGUAUUUCAAUUAGCCCAAUAGCUUUGGUGCCUUCAAGAACCUUCUAGGAUGCAGCAGCCAUCAAUUAAUUCAUCACUGCUGCUAGGGUAUUGACAAUCAACCAUAUAAAUCCACCUGCUAUACCAUCACUCUGUCCACAUUUCUUCAUUUGAUGCACAAAGACCCAUGACAGACUGACAAACUCAUGGACUUCAGAUACAACAAUUUUUAAAUUUCUCUCCAUCUAGCAUCCCUAAACAACAAUAACAACAACAAAAAAGAGGUUUGAGGACAAAUGAACUUUUUUUUUUGCACAGUGUAAUGCCUAUUUUUCACAGAAUAAUAUAUAUUUACAUUUGCGCUCAUGAAUGCCAGCCACAGGUUUUUAAUUUCAUAAAACCCGUACCUACCACAUAGCAAAUGUUCAGGACUUUUCUUGAGGUUAUUUGACUUACCUAGCAUCUGAAUGUGAAGGUCAGUUUUUUCAUUCAUUUUAACUUCUGUUUUCUCCCAAAUCAAAAUAUGUGUUUUGGCUAUCUUGAGGGAGCUUUCCCAGGAAAAGUCUCCUUUUUGACUGUUAGUAAGUUAGAUCACUUACCGUCUCUAACUCGGUGGAGACAAUUCGGAAAAGAUUAACCAUAAUCUCUAGGCUGCUGGUUCGCUUUUCAUUUCCUUGCAUUUCAAACCCCGUUCAUUAUUGUGCAUUAGCCUCUCACUUGACAGGCAGGUGCUUGGCAAAUGUGUACUGAUUUGAUUUAAUUUAGAAAAACACCUUAUGAGCGAAACACUAUAGUUCGAUUGGCAAAAUUGGCUUCAGAUUGCCUUCACCUUGUUUCUAAAUGGUUAUCACAAUCCCGAAAGGACUGCCUGACCCAGUGUGCAAAUGAGUCACUGUAACACCCCCGCAUCCUCACCCUCCCCCACAAAGGAAAAGAGAUAAACAUUGACGUGCCAGGAAAUGAAGAACUGAAUCCCCCUCAAAACCACCAAAUUCCCAGCCCAGGUAGCCUUCUUGAUGUAACUACACCUUUGUCCUUUCCCAUUUAUCUCCUGACUUUCAAAUGCAUCCGAACUCAUGUUAUCUGAUUCUGAAACUGGCCAGAUUUUUACUAGUAAAGGCAUAGAGAUGAGUUUACUGCUCAAUGUUGGAGUAAAAGCAGGAGGCUGCAGGGGGUUUCUUGUCCUCGUCAGCAACGACAGUGGCCCCUUUGUGUUUCCAGACUCUCAGGGGCUUGGCCCUCCCCUUUUCUGGGAGAGCUCAUUGCUCUCCGACAUGCUGGGCUUCGGCCAGGUCUGGUCUUCAGGUCGCCCCAGUCCCCUGGGGCAGCCCCACCAACGGUGAACACAGUGACUCCCUGUCCUCAGGGGCUGGGCUUCCAGAAAGUGGCCUGCCCACUUUGUGAACCUAAUACUUGAUAGAAGACGUCCGAUUAUGGACACCAAAUUCUCUCUCCUAGGAGAUCUGAACCUGCAAGCCACUCUUUGUUAAGACCUUUUAUUUUCCCUGGAAAGCCCUUGCCAAACGUUGGCCACAUUUCACUCUGUCUGAUCCACGCUUUUUAUCUCUUCUCGACCAGACAAAUGCAUAAUAAAGCUUCAUUGGCUGGAUGAACAGGCAAUCCAUCUUCAGGACUGUAUGGACACGAUGCUCCUGCUGGGCCAACGGGCUGUACGAAGGGCCCCUAAAGUAUUUCUCAGAUUCUGGCAGAACAGCUCUGAUGGUCCCGGACAAAGGCCUUACAAUUUCUAAGGGAUUUAGACCCCUGGAUUUGAUCAGUGUCAGUGGUUCUCUGAGUCCUCAGCCAUCGUUUCUCAGUCUUUUGGCUAAGAUCAAGUGCUGAGUCCUCAGCCACCCAGCCCACAGUGGGUGUAAUGGAUUUAGAUGUGAAGGGGCGGAAUUAUGGAAUGCAAACAUCACUUGGCAAGUGACCAUUCUGACAGAUGCAAAUAUAAAUCUCUUUGCAAACUCUGCCUUUGGCGUUUGUUUGCAUCCAAAGAUACCCGUCAGGAAGCUUUACAUCCCCAGCAUGAGUAAAGGGCCUGGCCCACGUCUGUACAUGCACAAAGGACAGUGAGACGGGGAGAAGUCCAGCGAUACUAAGCUCUGGUUAGUCCUCUUUAUUUUUAUUUUUUAAAUGAUUUUUAUUUUUUUCAUCAUAGCUGGUUUACAAUGUUCUGUCAGUUUUCUACUGUGCAGCAAGGUGACCCCGUCACACAUACACAUAUACAUUCCUUUUUCUUACAUUAUCAUGCUCCAUCCUAAGUGACUAGACAUAGUUCCCAGUGCUACACAGCAGGAUCUCAUUGCUGAUCCAUUCCAAAGGCAAUAGUUUGCAUCUAUUAAUAGGUCAGGGUGGCCCCAGACAACAGGGAAAAAGAAAGCCUGCUGAGGUCUCCCACUGCCCUGGGCUGUCAGGAGGAAGGGUGGAGUCAGAAAUGGGUGGGGCAGGAGUCUAGGAAAGAGUAGAUGAUGCAGAGGCCUCUGUUAGGCACCGUGGGCGUAUACCUGGCUAGACUGUCUCCUUUUUGCUUUUUGCUCAGGAAACAGUAUAGUAGUAAAUAACUGAAGAGGGUUAUUUACUAUAGAAAAAUAUUUUUCUCUUUUACUAUAGAAAAAAUCUUGCACAAACUUUGCCCACAAGCCUUCCUGUUCAUCCCUACACUUGUUCAGAAAUGUAUUGAGCAACUAUGAUCCUAAAUAAUGCUCUAGAUUCUGAUGUCUCAGCAGAGGAUGAGCCAGAGACGUUCCCUGCCCUUCUAGAGAGUAUCUUCUAAUAGAGGAGGUGGAGAAUGAACAAGCAUAUAUACCAGACAAUUUUAGUUGAUGAUAAAUGUUAGGAAGGGGUGGGGACCAUGAGAAGCCCUCUCCAAGGAAGGUGAUGUUUUAGUUGAGAACCAAAGGGUGAAAAGGAGGUUCUCCUUGUGUGAUGAUCUAGGGAAGAGUUCCAAGCAGAAUGAAGAGCAAGUGCAAAGGCCCUGAGACAGGAAACACCUGGGGGUGGGGGGAACCCAAGAGGCAGGAGCACAGUGAGUAGGGCAGAGAACAUGGGAUGCAUUGAGUGUCAGACAGAGGCUCCAUCAUGUGAAAGGGUCAGGUCAUAGCAAGGAGUUGGUAUUUUAGAUUUGUUAAAAUGGGAGUAGAGAGGGCAGUCAGUAGGUGGCUUUGGGUUAAGUUUCAUAGGAUUCCUAUCACCUGGUAAAGUCAUGUAAUACUCAAGGUCACAAAAAAAGAUCAGAUUUUGGGUAACUAUGCUAAAUAUUUCAACCACAUUGCCAAUCGGAACCAUAGCCUCUACCAAAGAAAGUUUCUCUUCUCACAGAUCUACUUAA